AGGACGAACGCUGGCGGCGUGCCUAACACAUGCAAGUCGAACGGAGCCCGCAAGGGUUCAGUGGCGAACGGGUGCGUAACACGUGAGGAACUUGUCCAUCGGCGGGGGAUAGCCGGCCCAACGGCCGGGUAAUACCGCGUACGCCGUCCGGAGCGCAUGCUCUGGCCGGGAAAGCAGCAAUGCACCGAUGGAGAGCCUCGCGGCCUAUCAGCUAGUUGGUGGGGUAAUGGCCUACCAAGGCGACGACGGGUAGCUGGUCUGAGAGGAUGACCAGCCACAUUGGGACUGAGACACGGCCCAGACUCCUACGGAGGCAGCAGUGGGGAAUAUUGCGCAAUGGGCGAAAGCCUGACGCAGCGACGCCGCGUGUGGGAUGACGGCCUUCGGUUGUAAACCACUGUCGCGAGGGACGAAGAUCUGACGGUACCGUCGAAAGGAAGCACCGGCUAACUCUGCGCCAGCAGCCGC
rnacentral:rRNA from 1 species